GGUUUGCGUGAGGGAUAAAAGUGGAGCUCUUUUUAUAGUUGGUCUCGUUUUUUUUGACGAGACCAAAUAUAAAAAAGCGGGAACGGAUAGCCCGACCCCGC
rnacentral:sRNA from 1 species